rnacentral:RNase_P_RNA from 2 species
AAUAUGAGUUGGCUUAUCGCGUCUGAGCUAUCAGGCGAGGAAAGUCCGGGCAGCAUGGGGCACCCUACUUCCUAACGGGAAGGAGGAUGGUUGGGAACGACCAUUCGACAGCUAGUGUCACAGAAAAUAUACCGCCCGACAUUAAUGUAUAAUUGAUAAUGGAAAAUGAAUGAUGAAGGUUAUGCUGAUAUUAUUCAUUAACCAUUAUACAUUAUUCAUUAAAUCUGGUAAGGGUGAAAAGGUGGGGUAAGAGCCUACCGCCCGACGGGCGACCGGCGGGGCAGGAUAAACCUUAGGGGCUGAAAGACCAAAUAAGCGUUGGAUGUGGAGCGGCCCGUUCCCGUUCUGGAACAAUCCCAUCCGGGAACGAUCCAGAUGCCGACGCGGGUAGGUCGAACGAGGUGGCCGGUGACGUCCAUCCCAGAUAAAUGAUAGGCCAUUCUGCUUUUGCGGAAGGACAGAACCCGGCUUAUAGACUCGUAUUGGGC